CUCAGAGUAUGUGAUCACUGAGCAAAUGCCGGGCGUGGGGAGUCUGGGAAACAGUAGAGGGAUGUAGAGUUAUGAGAGACUAUAAGAAGUGAGAGGUUAGAGGUCCAAAUACAUCAGGAAAGCAUUAAAAAUGCAUGCUGUGACAAGAAUUUAAAAGUCUCAGGAAGCCAAGAUUCAAUCAGAUGAGCUCCCGGUUAGCGGAAGAGCCGCUCCCAGAGGGUGUUGACUGCAAGAUGGGGAAGAGGCAAAAGGAAAAUAAUCCAUGAAUGAGAGAACUAAAGAGGACUUUGAAAGGAUUUCUUUGCCAUUAUCUGCUUUUGGAGAAAGCCAUACAAAACAGAAAGAAUAAAGGGGCCUACCCAGUGGCAUAGUGGUUAAAUUCACAUGCUCUGCUUUGGCGGCCCUGGGUUCAUGGAUUCGGAUCCCAGGCACGGACAUACACACCGCUCAUCAAGCCAUGUUGAGGCAGCGUCCCACUUAGAGCAACUGGAAGGAUGUACAACUAUGACAUACAACUAUCUACUGGGGCUUUGGGGAGAAAAAAGGAAAAAAGGAGGAAGAUUGGCAACAGAUGUUAGCUCAGGACCAGUUGCCCCCUCCCCAAAAAGAAGAAAGAAUAAAAGGAAUAGUUUUGUUUUUGAAAGCUGCUUGGUACACAAUCCUGCCUAAAAGAGUCUGCUAUAAAAGCAGCCAUGUGUUAGUUAGCUGGCCGUGUUUCUAGUGCAACUUCAGGACCACUGAAAGUAUAGAAUAGCAUAGCUUUAUAAAUCUUUUCUUUUCCUUAUCCUGGGUUAAAUUUCAAAAUUUCACUAAUUAAAAAAAAAUCUUAUGAUAAUUAUAUUUACUUAUAUUAUUCAUUCCUACAACUCAGUUUUCCAUAGAUGCUUGUUUUCUGUUUUCUAAUGAUUUAGCGUUUGUAUUCUGAUCACAUUUGCAGAGAUGAAGUGCUCUGUGGUUUCUCUCAUGAGCCCCAGUGGGCAGGAACAACAUCACAACAUUCUCUCGUAUAGUGCUUGGUAGAACUUCCUGCGCCUUGUGAUUGUUUUGUGAUAACAGAGACCACACUAUAAAAUGAAGCCAAAGGAACGUUUUUAAAAUAGGGUCUGAUGCUGUUGAAUCUUCAUUGGAUGUGUCUCCAUUUACAGACUAAUGAACUGAGAAAUAACUGUUGUAUCAUCAUGGCAAACAACUGACAUAGUGGAGACCAGUGAUUUUCUAAAGCCGUGCAAAAUCCUCGUCCUGUUAGUCAGAGAUGACUGUGGAAAUAAAUCUGGCUCAUUGACCUCUUA